rnacentral:rRNA from 1 species
AUUGAACGCUGGCGGCAGGCCUAACACAUGCAAGUCGAACGGUAGCACGGAGAGCUUGCUCUCGGGUGACGAGUGGCGGACGGGUGAGUAACGUCUGGGAAACUGCCCGAUGGAGGGGGAUAACUACUGGAAACGGUAGCUAAUGCCGCAUAACGUCGCAAGACCAAAGUGGGGGACCUUCGGGCCUCACACCAUCGGAUGUGCCCAGAUGGGAUUAGCUAGUAGGUGGGGUAAUGGCUCACCUAGGCGACGAUCCCUAGCUGGUAUGAGAGGAUGACCAGCCACACUGGAACUGAGACACGGGCCAGACUCCUACGGGAGGCAGCAGUGGGGAAUAUUGCGCAAUGGGCGCAAGCCUGAUGCAGCCAUGCCGCGUGUAUGAAGAAGGCCUUCGGGUUGUAAAGUACUUUCAGCGGGGAGGAAGGCGGUGAAGUUAAUAGCUUCACCGAUUGACGUUACCCGCAGAAGAAGCACCGGCUAACUCCGUGCCAGCAGCCGCCGUAA